CCUACGGGGGGCUGCCGUGGGGCAUAUUGCGCAAUGGGCGAAAGCCUGACGCAGCGACGCCGCGUGAGGGAUGAAGGUCUUCGGAUCGUAAACCUCUGUUAGCAGGGAAGAACGGUCACUGUGCUAAUCAGCAGUGACUUGACGGUACCUGCAAAGGAAGCACCGGCUAACUCCGUGCCAGCAGCCGCGGUAAUACGGCGGGUGCGAGCGUUAAUCGGAAUUACUGGGCGUAAGGCGCUCGUAGGCGGUAUGUCAAGUCAAGGGUGAAAUCCCCGCGCUCAACGUGGGAACUGCCUUUGAAACUGGCAAACUGGAGUGUGUGAGAGGAUAGUGGAAUUCCAGGUGUAGGAGUGAAAUCCGUAGAUAUCUGGAGGAACAUCAGUGGCGAAGGCGACUAUCUGGCACAUAACUGACGCUGAGGAGCGAAAGCGUGGGUAGCAAACAGGAUUAGAUACCCUGGUAGUC
rnacentral:rRNA from 1 species